rnacentral:rRNA from 1 species
UACUAGAGUAGCACCGCAUAUCAAUAAGCGGAGGAAAAGAAACUAACAAGGAUUCCCCUAGUAACGGCGAGUGAAGCGGGAAGAGCUCAAAUUUGAAAUCUUAAAGGGUUUCCCUUUACGAAUUGUAGUUUAAAGAAGUGUUUUCUGUUGAGGUUUUGGUAAAAGUUCUUUGGAAUAGGACAUCAUAGAGGGUGAGAAUCCCGUAUUUGACCUUUACUUUCAACUUUGUGAUACACUUUCAAAGAGUCGGAUUGUUUGGGAAUGCAGUCCAAAAUGGGUGGUAAAUUUCAUCUAAAGCUAAAUAUUGGCGAGAGACCGAUAGCGAACAAGUACCGUGAGGGAAAGAUGAAAAGAACUUUGAAAGGAGAGUUAAACAGUACGUGAAAUUGUCAAAAGGGUAGCGUUUGACACCAGUGUUGUUUUUCUGAAAAUCAAUUAAAGAACUGUUUAUGCUAAGCUGUUUAGACUUUAUCAGCUAUCUGUUUAGUUUUGAGCUUUUCUUUAAUGCACUUUUCAGUUAACAAGUCAACAUCAAUUUCUUUUGCUGUAAAAAAGCUUGAGGAAGGUGGCUUGAGAUUCGUCUUAAGUGUUUAUAGCCUCUUGCCUAUGCAGUCGGAGAGAUUGAGGUCUGCAGCGUAGAUCCUUCGGGGCUAAAUGCAUUUGUGCUAAGUUAUAGCAUUUUAUAGACAACUUGUUGACUAUGAUUUGUCUUGUAGCUUACUCGCUUAUGUUAUUUUACCUACGCUUAGGAUGUUGAGUAGCGACAUACGCAC